rnacentral:rRNA from 1 species
GAUGAACGCUGGCGGUAUGCUUAACACAUGCAAGUCGAACGAAGUCUUCGGACUUAGUGGCGGACGGGUGAGUAACGCGUGAGAAUCUGGCUUUAGGACGGGGAUAACCACUGGAAACGGUGGCUAAGACCCGAUAUGCCGAGAGGUGAAAGUAAUUUAGCCUAGAGGGGAGCUCGCGUCUGAUUAGCUAGUUGGUGGGGUAAGAGCCUACCAAGGCGACGAUCAGUAGCUGGUCUGAGAGGAUGAUCAGCCACACUGGGACUGAGACACGGCCCAGACUCCUACGGGAGGCAGCAGUGGGGAAUUUUCCGCAAUGGGCGAAAGCCUGACGGAGCAAUACCGCGUGGGGGAGGAAGGCUCUUGGGUUGUAAACUCCUUUUCUCAGGGAAGAAAAAAAUGACGGUACCUGAGGAAUCAGCAUCGGCUAACUCCGUGCCAGCCGCCGCCGUAACAC